rnacentral:lncRNA from 1 species
UAUUAUAGCAAGAGAAUCUUGACAAUACAAUUCUCUAGCAACCACUAUCACUAUGUCAUCUCUCUCUCUUGACUAGUACUUAGACUAAGCUUCGACUCUAAAAUAACAAUUGAAUUUUACAAACCCUUAUAAAUUAUCUAAUAAAUCCUUAUAAAUGAUUUCAGUACUAAAGUCUCAAUAUGCAGAGUCUUUAAUAAACUCGUAAACACAAUUCAUAAAAUUUCAAAACACAAAAUCACAUUGUAUACUCAUCUCUAAUCAACCAUUUACCCUCUUCAGAUUGAUGAAUAUUCUGAAUCUCAAUGUUGCAACAAAUCGUAAUCCAUAAACCGAAAUAGAUAUGAAUGGUAAAAACCCAGAUUCUACAAUCUCCUCAAACCUGCGAAGUGAUCAAAGAUGAUCUGAUGCCAAAGGUUUUGACGAUGAACUCGAUGGAGAAGGACGACUGAUCUCAACAGAGAGGGACGACGGAUCUCGACGGAGAGAGAUGGAUCUCGACGGAAAGAGACCGGAGAGGGGCGAUGGGUCUCGACAGAGAGAAAGAAAAAACGCGAUGGAGAAGAAGAUUAGGUUAGGGUAAUUUAGUCUUUUACACAUUAAUGAAU